AUUGAACGCUGGCGGCAGGCCUAACACAUGCAAGUCGAGCGAGCGGCGGACGGGUGAGUAAUUUCUGGGCAACUGCCUGAUGGGGGGGGAUAACUACUGGAAGCGGUUGAUAAUACCGCAUACCAUCAGAUGUGCCCAGAUGGGAUUAGCUAGUAGGUGGGGUAACGGCUCACCUAGGCGACGAUCCCUAGCUGGUCUGAGAGGAUGACCAGCAACACUGGGACUGAGACACGGCCCAGACUCCUACGGGAGGCAGCAGUGGGGAAUAUUGCACAAUGGGCGCAAGCCUGAUGCAGCCAUGCCGCGUGUAUGAAGAAGGCCUUAGGGUUGUAAAGUACUUUCAGCGGGGAGGCGUUACCCGCAGAAGAAGCACCGGCUAACUCCGUGCCAGCAGCCGCGGUAAUAC
rnacentral:rRNA from 1 species